UAUAUUUGAGUAUGAGAUGUACAUGAACCUUUGGAGUUUAAGAAACAGUUUAAUUCUGUAAGAUAUAA
rnacentral:tRNA from 1 species